AUACGGAGGAUCCGAGCGUUAUCCGGAUUUAUUGGGUAUAAAGGGUGCGCAGGCGGCCAUUUAAGUCAGCGGUUAAAUCGUGGGGCUCCACCCCAUUCUGCCGUUGAUACUGGGUGGCUUGAUUGCGGUCGAGGUUGGCGGAAUUCGUUGUGUAGCGGUGAAAUGCAUAGAUAUGACGAAGAACACCGAUUGCGUAGGCAGCUGACCAGACCGCAAAUGACGCUCAUGCACGAAAGUGCGGGGAUCGAACAGGAUUAGAUACCCUGGUAGUCCGCACAGUAAACGAUGAAUACUUGUUUUCGGCGAUAUAAUGUCGGAGGCAAAGCGAAAGCGAUAAGUAUUCCACCUGGGGAGUACGCCGGCAACGGUGAAACUCAAAUGAAUUGACGGGG
rnacentral:rRNA from 1 species